rnacentral:misc_RNA from 1 species
GAUGAAGAACGCAGCGAAAUGCGAUAAGUAAUGUGAAUUGCAGAAUUCAGUGAAUCAUCGAAUCUUUGAACGCACCUUGCGCUCCUUGGUAUUCCGAGGAGCAUGCCUGUUUGAGUGUCAUUAAAUUCUCAAUCAUUAUCAACUUUUGCUGAUAAUGGCUUGGAUGUGGGGGUCUAUUUUGCUGGCUUCUCAGAUAGUUAGCUCCCCUUAAAUGCAUUAGCCGGUGCCCCGCGUGGACUGUCUAUUGGUGUGAUAAUUAUCUACGCUAUAGACAUCUGCAAUCAUAUGGGUUUGCGCUGCUUCUAACAGUCUGUUGAUUCAGACAAUACAUGACAAUUUGACCUCAAAUCAGGUAGGACUACCCGCUGAACUUAAGCAUAUCAAUAAGCGGAGGA